UACGGGGGGGGGCAAGCGUUGUUCGGAAUUACUGGGCGUAAAGGGCGCGUAGGCGGUCAGAUAAGUCAGCUGUGAAAACCUCGGGCUUAACUCGAGGCCUGCAGUUGAAACUGUUUGGCUGGAGUGUGGGAGAGGAGAGUGGAAUUCCACGUGUAGCGGUGAAAUGCGUAGAGAUGUGGAGGAACACCAGUGGCGAAGGCGACUCUUUGGCCUGUAACUGACGCUGAGGCGCGAAAGCGUGGGGAGCAAACAGG
rnacentral:rRNA from 1 species